rnacentral:rRNA from 1 species
UUGACCUCAAAUCGGGUGAGACUACCCGCUGACUUUAAGC